AGAAAGACCACUGUUUUACCCUCUUUAUAUCCAACGUUUGAUCGUCCGUCUUAUUUAAAAAUAAUUAUGAUUAAUAUUUUUAUUGUUAUUAGAAUGAUAAAACACGAAUAAUACUUUAUGUGUGACUAUUUUUUUAAUUUUUUAUAAAUUAUUUAAAUAAAACGGAUGGUCGAAAGUUAGAAAAAAAUUCACGACU
rfam:Oryza glumipatula chromosome 8, whole genome shotgun sequence.